rnacentral:rRNA from 1 species
UGGUGGGUUGCCUUGUCAGGUUGAUUCCGGUAACGAACGAGACCUCAGCCUGCUAAAUAGUGCCGGUUACCUUGGUAGCCGCUGCGCUUCUUAGAGGGACUAUUGACGUUCAGUCAAUGGAAGUAUGAGGCGAUAACA